rnacentral:rRNA from 1 species
UACGUAGGGUGCGAGCGUUGUCCGGAAUUAUUGGGCGUAAAGGGCUCGUAGGCGGUUGUCACGUCGGGAGUAGAAACUCAGGGCUUAACCCUGACGCCUAGCUUCCGAUACGGGCAGACUAGAGGUAUGCAGGGGAGAACGGAAGUUCCUGGUGUAGCUGGUGAAAUGCGACAGAUAUCAGGAGGAACACCGGUGGCGAAGGCGGUUCUCUGGGCAUUACCUGACGCUGAGGAGCGAAAGUGUGGGGAGCGAACAGG